rnacentral:rRNA from 1 species
CCUACGGGUGGCAGCAGUGAGGAAUAUUGGUCAAUGGACGAGAGUCUGAACCAGCCAAGUAGCGUGAAGGAUGAAUGCCCUAUGGGUUGUAAACUUCUUUUAUAUGGGAAUAAAAUGUUCCACGUGUGGGCUUUUGUAUGUACGUUAUGAAUAAGGAUCGGCUAACUCAGUGCCAGCAGCCGCGGUAAUACGGAGGAUCCGAGCGUUAUCCGGAUUUAUUGGGUUGAAAGGGAGCGUAGGUGGAUUGUUAAGUCAGUUGUGAAAGUUUGCGGCCCAACCGUAGAAUUGCAGUUGAAACUGGCAGUCUUGAGUACAGUAGAGGUGGGCGGAAUUCGUGGUGUAGCGGUGAAAUGCUUAGAUAUCACGAAGAACUCCGAUGGCGAAGGCAGCCCCCUGGACUGAAACUGACACUGAGGCGCGAAAGUGUGGGUAUCAAACAGGAUUAGAUACCCGAGUAGUC